AUUGAACGCUGGCGGCAGGCCUAACACAUGCAAGUCGAACGGUAACAGGAAGAAGCUUGCUUCUUUGCUGACGAGUGGCGGACGGGUGAGUAAUGUCUGGGAAACUGCCUGAUGGAGGGGGAUAACUACUGGAAACGGUAGCUAAUACCGCAUAACGUCGCAAGACCAAAGAGGGGGACCUUCGGGCCUCUUGCCAUCGGAUGUGCCCAGAUGGGAUUAGCUAGUAGGUGGGGUAACGGCUUACCUAGGCGACGAUCCCUAGCUGGUCUGAGAGGAUGACCAGCCACACUGGAACUGAGACACGGUCCAGACUCCUACGGGAGGCAGCAGUGGGGAAUAUUGCACAAUGGGCGCAAGCCUGAUGCAGCCAUGCCGCGUGUAUGAAGAAGGCCUUCGGGUUGUAAAGUACUUUCAGCGGGGAGGAAGGGAGUAAAGUUAAUACCUGUGCUCAUUGACGUUACCCGCAGAAGAAGCACCGGCUAACUACGUG
rnacentral:rRNA from 1 species